GCGGCGUGAGCCGCUUGGCUUUCCGUGAGUCCUCGGACAGACGUGGGACUUGAGAGACGGUUGAAGAGAGAGGCGACUGUGGAAAAGUAACUCAAACAUGCGGGAGGCUAAAGGAAGGUGAGGACUAUUGGAACCCAGUCUGUCUGCACAGAAUUCUCUGCGUCUCACCCUCUUGUCCUCGAUGCUGAGAGGGUGUCUUUUCUCCUGCUAUAGGGAUGGCGGCUCUCACAAAGAAUUUCAUCUCCUGUUUUUAAGGGGAAAAAAUGGGGAUCAUCGGAGUGUCCUUUUUGCAUCUGCUGCUUUCCAAGUGCCUUUAACUCAAAAUAGUCGCUAUACCAGGGUGCAUAUUUUGGGGUGGUAUGUUAUGAACGCCCUCACCGUCCACCAGGUGGAGCAAAUGGAGCCGCCGCUAAGUACCUUUCAGGCGUCCAGCCUGUACAGGUGUUACUUCUAACCUCAGGACCGCUGAUUCCGUAGGUGUUAGCUCCAUUUUACAGGCAAGGAAACGGGCUGAGACAGGAACUUGCCCAGGGUUUCACAGCUGGGAAGUAAUCGGACCUGGGGUGGACCUAGGCACUGGCUCAACCCUCUAUCCCACGCCUGUUGGUGGACUCUGAUGAGCUCGGGACUUUAUGCUUUCAAAUAUAUGGUUUGUUUCUUCA